rnacentral:lncRNA from 1 species
GGCACAAUGGGUCAGUGGCACAAUGGGUCAAUGUGAGGCACAAAUGGGGUUCAGAUGUGGGCACAAUGGGGUCAAUGUGGGGCACAAUGGGGUCAAUGUGGGGCACAAUGGGGUCAAUGUGGGGCACAAUGGGGUCAAUGUGGGGCACAAUGGGGUCAAUGUGGGGCACAAUGGGGUCAGAUGUGGGGCACAAUGGGGUCAAUGUGGGGCACAAUGGGGUCAAUGUGGGGGCACAGUGGGGUCAGAUGUGGGGCACAAUGGGGUCCAAUUGUCGGGCACAAUGGGUCAAUGUGGGCACAAUGGGUCAAUGUGGGGCACAUGGGUCAAUGGGGGCAACCACG